rnacentral:sRNA from 1 species
UGUGAGGGGGAUCAUGUUCCUUCCUCCCUCACUGCUUCAAGUGUGUCCCUUCUAAAGCUGUGUAGUUGGUGUAAAGAAAGAUCUUCCCUAACAGAGGAGGGCCAGUCUUUGCAAGGGGAUGUGAGUAGCUUGCAUGCCCCUGCUUGCACCUCCCAGCUGGCUCUCAGCGUGACUGCUCUGCACUUCUGGGUUUAACUGGGCGGUUCGUUUUAUUGAUUGAUGGUACUUGUGACUAGACCUAGAGGGCCUGAUAC